rnacentral:rRNA from 1 species
UACAGAGGAUGCAAGCGUUAUCCGGAAUGAUUGGGCGUAAAGCGUCUGUAGGUGGCUUUUUAAGUCCGCCGUCAAAUCCCAGGGCUCAACUCUGGACAGGCGGUGGAAACUACCAAGCUGGAGUACGGUAGGGGCAGAGGGAAUUUCCGGUGGAGCGGUGAAAUGCGUAGAGAUUGGAAAGAACACCAAUGGCGAAAGCACUUUACUGGGCUAUUACUGACACUGAGAGACGAAAGCUAGGGUAGCAAAUGGG